ACUGCAUCCAUGCAUGUCACUAGUACUGGCAUCUACGUGACCUUAUCAUUCACACGAAAUGCCCUUUCAUUAAGUUGCGUUUCUAUUAUUCUAGUCAAUACUUCUAUAACCAAAUUUAAUUAGCUAGGCAACAUUUAUUAAUAUUGAGUUACAAAAUAAGUUCCUCGGGAUUUGUCAGUCUAGCUUUCUAAUGUUAUAAAUGUUGAGUUGUAUGCUAGGAUUUUAAUUCAAUCAAUAAUAAAUAAGUUCUCAAAAGGUUGAGACAAAAUAAAGUAUGCGUACAUUUAAAAAUUGAUCGGGAUGUUGGAAUAAUGGAAU
rnacentral:lncRNA from 1 species